rnacentral:lncRNA from 1 species
GGUAAGCAGCACAUUUUGUACAUUAUUUUUAAAGCUCUGAAUAACUUCAUCAAAAUCUACUGAAGGUUUCACACUCAAUACCUAAGUUCCAAAUACAUAUGGAAAGAUGUCACUAAACAUCCACUCUGGCCCAUUCAUUCAGACUCAUGUCUAAAUUUAUUCACAUUACCUAAAAUUACUUAUCUUCAGUUAAUUUAUUGGUGAUGUAUUUUCAAGUGGCUAGUCCACAUAUCUGUGUAUCAAGGUUGUAAAUUAUUAGUUACAGUACCAGGAACUACCAGAUUAUCAGUAGUUCAUUGAAUAGGAGUCCCACAAGAAUUGUUGUCACCAUAUGCAAGCCUAAUCCUGUGAUAAUGUUAGCAUAGUGGGACUAUAAUGUUCAUCUCAAUAUGAUGUGUUGCGUUUGUUGGCAGACUGCACGGGUUUCACACUGAGACCAGUAGCUGGUCUGCUGUCAUCACGGGACUUCCUGGCAGGGUUGGCUUUCCGUGUCUUCCAUUCAACACAAUAUAUCCGACAUGCCAGCUGCCCACUAUACACCCCAGAACCUGAUGUCUGCCAUGAGCUGCUAGGCCACGCACCACUCUUUGCUGACCCUGCAUUUGCACAGUUCUCACAGGAGAUUGGUCUAGCCUCCCUUGGUGCACCAGAUGAUUACAUCGAGAAGCUUGCAACAGUGAGUAUUGUAGCUAUCUAUAGGCUCCAAGUAGUAUUGCACAUUUGCUGACUAGGCUUUUAAUGAAAAAGUCACCGGCUAGAAGUAAAGUUACUAUAGUCUCUAUAUUCUAUAAGUCCUUUCAGUAUUGUCAUUAUCAAACAACUAUACAAAAAGAUUUAAAAAAAUACAUAGCCAUGUAUACAAUAUUUAAAAAGAGUACAUUUGUGCUCACUGUAAAGACAACACUCUGAGCAGCAUAGAGGCACAAUAAGAUCAUCCUAACGAAUGUUUGGCCAGUCUUAAUGAGAAAAACAAGAUAAACAAACACAUAAAUUCAUACAGUCAUAUACAUACAACUCAUGUGCAUGCAAAUGCAUUGCAUGCACGCCUUUUCUAAUGAAGGCCUGGCUGAAAGCUCAUUUGAACUUUUUGCCUGCCUGCUUCUUGUCAUGUCAUCUUAACGGUGAGUAACAAUACAUAAUUUCCACAGUAUUGUAGAUGUACCAACCUGGACUUAUAUAAUUGUUUGAUUUAACCAUAAGUAAUGCAAUGAAAUUAGGUUACAAAGGACUACCUGUCAUUUGCAACAUCCAGGUUUCUAAUAGAUAAACAUAAAUGGGAGUCAAAUGAAAACACAGUGACUGCUUUGCACCUAGACAUACAUCUCAAUAUUCUUGAGGAAAUUGUAAACAUUAUACUGACAAUUCAUACAAUACUCUAAUUGACAGAUUGGUUCAACCAUAAGUGACAUACUGGAUAUGUGGUUUCACACCUCUCUCAUGGGACACUUGACAACUACAUGAAAAAGCAAACUUUAUAAGUCACAUAAUGUACACUGCCAAAACUUCUGCGAUUUUUUCACAAAUAUAUUUUAUAUAAACUAAUUGUUUUGAAAUGCAAUAUUGUAAGACAAGGCCAGUAAUAUAUAAGAGAGAGAGAAAAGAUCGCAAGACAACCUGUCCAAAAAACUAAGGUUAUACUAGUAUCUAUUUCACAUCAUUUCUAAUUUACCUUUUGUUAGAACCUAUCUACUCUAUACAUUGUUAUUUUUCCACAAUAUUUUUUAUUUUCAUAAAAAAAUUCAGACACUACCAAUACUAUUUUUACAUUUUAUGUCAUAUAAUAGAGAUUAUCAUAAUAUUUCUGUGCAUAGCAAUUUUAACCCCAAAGGUCACGUUGUGUGGUGUAAUGUGAGAUGAAGAUACACUAUUAUCCACCUGGAUUGCGUGAUCAACAAAUCUGUAUAUUCUCAUAAAAAAUAACAAUGAACUCCUUAUAUCUGUAUUAUCACUCUGUAUUAAAUAUUUAACUUUCUGAAGUAGGGAGCAUAUGACCUUUUUGUUAGUGAAAUAUACUGCUGCAAGUGAUAACUUACAAACAGCUAAAGAACUACAGUUCAGAUUUUAUAUCAUACAUGCUAAUGAAUGCAUAUAUGUAUCUAUACUGUUUCUAUCAAUGGAAGGUUUAUAUUGGAAUUCAAUAAUAUUAUGAGAAUAGGGUGCAAAUUGCCCCACAGAUGUCAAUGAACCACAGAAAAGCAUGUAGAAAAGACAGUCACAUUUGUACAAUUUAACUUUUAGACCCAGAUUUCAUAAGAAAUGAAUGCUUACACAUUCAUAAAAUCACAGUGGCACUACUCACAUACAUGACUACCAUCUCCAGUAUAUAUAUAUUGUGAGUCAGGAUGGUGGCCAGAGAAGGCAGACAUGUAUGGAUGAGUUGUUCCUGUAUGAUUGUGUGGAGGUUUAUAGGAUCGGGUCGGAUAAGACACGAACACUCCAACUUUCAUACACUGACUUUAUUAUAACACGUUUACACUAUACAUGUCAGGCGGGAACUGGUGUUUCCGCUUCCUUACAGCAAAGACCUUUCGUAACACAGAAAGAUACUACACUCGUCCAAAGUUGUUAGGUAUCGAUUCCCACAUAGCCCCCCCCGGCAGUAUGGAGUACAUCAAAAAAAAAAAAAAAAAAAAAAAAAA